rnacentral:ncRNA from 1 species
CGUCGUGAGGCGGAAUCUGAAGAAAGCCGGAUUUUAGGAGUUAAAAGGUCUCUUAAUGGGCAAAACUCUGGUCUGACGAACAGAAAUCGCAUAUAAGGCCGUAAAUGAGGGCGAGUUUGCCAGACAAGACAAAGCCCAAUAGCUACACGGAAUCAUUUACGGUAAAUGCGGCAGGUAAAGAGGGAAAGAACG